UACAUGGGGUGCAAACGUUGCUCGGAAUUAUUGGGCGUAAAGCGCACGUAGGCGGUUCGUUAAGUCGGAUGUGAAAGCCCUCGGCUCAACUGAGGAAGUGCACCCGAAACUGGCGAGCUUGAGUACGAAAGAGGAUCGCGGAAUUCCCGGUGUAGAGGUGAAAUUCGUAGAUAUCGGGAGGAACACCUAUUGCGAAGGCAGCUCGCUGGGACGUCACUGACGCUGAGGAGCGGAAAGCAUGGGGAGCGAACAGG
rnacentral:rRNA from 1 species